GACGCCACACCGACACCCCCGUGUGGGGCGGAUGAGAGUGGCGGGUUACCCCGGCAUCA
rnacentral:snoRNA from 1 species